rnacentral:rRNA from 1 species
AGCAGUAGCCGCGGUAAUACGAGGGGUGCAAGCGUUAUUCGGAUUGAUUGGGUGUAAAGGGUGUGCAGACGGCUUAUUAAGUCACUUGUUAAAUUCUUCGGCCUAACUGAAGGUCUGCAAGUGAUACUGAUGAGCUAGAGGGUGGAAGAGAGAAGUGGAAUUCUCGGAGUAGCGGUAAAAUGCGUAGAUCUCGAGAGGAACACCAAUGGCGAAGGCAGCUUCUUGGUCCAUUCCUGACGUUCAUACACGAAAGCGUGGGGAGCAAACAGGAUUAGAUACCCCGGUAGUCCCUGUCUCUUAUAA